CAGUAGCCGCGGGAAAACGGAGGGGGCUAGCGUUGUUCGGAAUUACUGGGCGUAAAGCGCACGUAGGCGGCUUGGUAAGUUAGAGGUGAAAGCCCGGAGCUCAACUCCGGAAUUGCCUUUAAGACUGCCGAGCUAGUAGGUGAGAGAGGUAAGUGGAAUUCCGAGUGUAGAGGUGAAAUUCGUAGAUAUUCGGAAGAACACCAGUGGCGAAGGCGGCUUACUGGCUCAUUCUAGACGCUGAGGUGCGAAAGCGUGGGGAGCAAACAGGAUUAGAUACCCCGGUAGUCCCUGUCUCUUAUAC
rnacentral:rRNA from 1 species